rnacentral:lncRNA from 1 species
GUUCCAUUCACCAGUUUUGUCAACAAGAGCUGAAUCUCCACAGAUCUGUAUAGAAAACAGUCAAUAAGGACCCUUCAGGUGAAAAAAAUCGCCUUUUGUCUCAGGACAAUGAAAAUUAUUUUGAUAUUUUUCAUCUUGGCACAUUAUGAUUUCUCAGAUGUAUUCUGUCAUGGGCUGAAUCAAACUCCAACAGUAACAGUGACAGCUACAGACCAUAUACAAGCAAAAGAGAAAAUGGCUUCUGAUGCUUAUCAAUGGGAAAUUGACGAGGAGGAGUAUUCAUGUGAUAUAUUCCAAUCAAGACGAAGGAAAAAAAUUCGUUUUUGCUCCCUAAAGAUCCAUCUACUGUGUGGGACUAAUAACAUCACCUAUCCUAGCCUCUGUGUAUUCUGCUAUGUGAAUAUUGCAUCCCAAGGCAAAGUUCAACUGAAAAAUAUUGGGAAAUGCCAACGGCAAUGAACCAUUCUUACUUCAAUUCCCCACUAUUCAACUGUUUUAAAAGAAGGAAUCAUCUUUGUCAACUUUACAUAAGAAUUCAUUUCAUCAUUCCAUUUUAACAUUCUUGCUCAAUAAACUAUUUUUUUCAUGGG